GACGAACGCUGGCGGCGUGCUUAACACAUGCAAGUCGAACGGAAAGGCCCUGCUUUUGUGGGGUGCUCGAGUGGCGAACGGGUGAGUAACACGUGAGUAACCUGCCCUUGACUUUGGGAUAACUUCAGGAAACUGGGGCUAAUACCGGAUAGGAGCUCCUGCUGCAUGGUGGGGGUUGGAAAGUUUCGGCGGUUGGGGAUGGACUCGCGGCUUAUCAGCUUGUUGGUGGGGUAGUGGCUUACCAAGGCUUUGACGGGUAGCCGGCCUGAGAGGGUGACCGGCCACAUUGGGACUGAGGUACGGCCCAGACUCCAACGGGAGGCAACAGUGGGGAGUAUUGCACAAUGGGCGGAAGCCUGAUGCAGAAACGCCGCGUGCGGGAUGACGGCCUUCGGGUUGUAAACCGCUUUCGCCUGUGACGAAGCGUGAGUGACGGUAAUGGGUAAAGAAGCACCGGCUAACUACGUG
rnacentral:rRNA from 1 species